rnacentral:rRNA from 1 species
AGUGAACGCUGGCGGUAGGCCUAACACAUGCAAGUCGAACGGCAGCACAGUAAGAGCUUGCUCUUACGGGUGGCGAGUGGCGGACGGGUGAGGAAUACAUCGGAAUCUACUUUUUCGUGGGGGAUAACGUAGGGAAACUUACGCUAAUACCGCAUACGACCUACGGGUGAAAGCAGGGGAUCUUCGGACCUUGCGCGAUUGAAUGAGCCGAUGUCGGAUUAGCUAGUUGGCGGGGUAAAGGCGCACCACGGCGACGAUCCGUAGCUGGUCUGAGAGGAUGAUCAGCCACACUGGAACUGAGACACGGUCCAGACUCCUACGGGAGGCAGCAGUGGGGAAUAUUGGACAAUGGGCGCAAGCCUGAUCCAGCCAUACCGCGUGGGUGAAGAAGGCCUUCGGGUUGUAAAGCCCUUUUGUUGGGAAAGAAAAGCAGCAGGUUAAUACCCCGCUGUUCUGACGGUACCCAAAGAAUAAGCACCGGCUAACUUCGUG